UACGUAAGGUGCAAGCGUUAAUCGGAAUUACUGGGCGUAAAGCGUGCGCAGGCGGCUAUGCAAGACAGAUGUGAAAUCCCCGGGCUUAACCUGGGAACUGCAUUUGUGACUGCAUGGCUAGAGUGCGGCAGAGGGGGAUGGAAUUCCGCGUGUAGCAGUGAAAUGCGUAGAUAUGCGGAGGAACACCGAUGGCGAAGGCAAUCCCCUGGGCCUGCACUGACGCUCAUGCACGAAAGCGUGGGAGCAAACAGG
rnacentral:rRNA from 1 species